AGUGAACGCUGGCGGUAGGCCUAACACAUGCAAGUCGAACGGCAGCACAGUAAGAGCUUGCUCUUACGGGUGGCGAGUGGCGGACGGGUGAGGAAUACAUCGGAAUCUACUUUUUCGUGGGGGAUAACGUAGGGAAACUUACGCUAAUACCGCAUACGACCUACGGGUGAAAGCAGGGGAUCUUCGGACCUUGCGCGAUUGAAUGAGCCGAUGUCGGAUUAGCUAGUUGGCGGGGUAAAGGCCCACCAAGGUGACGAUCCGUAGCUGGUCUGAGAGGAUGAUCAGCCACACUGGAACUGAGACACGGUCCAGACUCCUACGGGAGGCAGCAGUGGGGAAUAUUGGACAAUGGGCGCAAGCCUGAUCCAGCCAUACCGCGUGGGUGAAGAAGGCCCUCGGGUUGUAAAGCCCUUUUGUUGGGAAAGAAAAGCAGCAGGUUAAUACCCCGCUGUUCUGACGGUACCCAAAGAAUAAGCACCGGCUAACUUCGUG
rnacentral:rRNA from 1 species